UUCAGCUAUACAGUCGACACGGUACUGGGCUUGUACUCGCUCACGUCAAAAGUUGCUCCGUCCCAAAAGUGCAAAUGAAGAUUUUCUGACAAGUGCAAAACCAAAAUUGCAUAAUGUUAUACCGUAUAACCAGUGAUUCCCCAAAAUAGUAGUAUCAGCAGUACGAAAUUCGACAGAUCGCUCUAAAUACUACACGUGAAGUGCAUCUAACGAACGGUCAGUGGAAGAAAUCACACUGUCGCGCUAAACAGAUUUGGAUAAUCGGAAUCAUUAAGCCACUACGGGACAAACAACAUCGGGCACUUUUGGCAAAGGCAUGCAAACCAGGCCGUGCGCUGGAUUGAGGUAGCACCUCGACAAAUUCCAAUUGGAAUAAAUUAUCAGCAGGACUAUAGAGUAGAAGAUCUAGCUCCUGCGUCAUUAAUCCAUCGCUUCACUUCGCUGCAAGUGAGAGACAAAAGGAAAGGCCUUCUAACAAGAAGUAUGUUGGCUAUUGCGAGACUAUCUUCAUUCGACUAAUGCUCUUUCCUUAUAGGGCCUUUUCCUGUUAUAGUGACUCACGCUGCGUUGUACUGUGUAGUGAAGAAAGUGCUCUACCUGUCGGCUGAUAUCUGCUGUAUCGUGUGGUACCGUGAAGUAUUUUGCGCUACUUGAAAUCGCGCGUUCUGAUCAACCGGUCCGGGGGACCUGGUAAAGAGACCGAAGUGGACGCUGCGUGGGACCAAAGCGGAGGGAGUUCAUCGGCGUACGCGUUCCUGAUUUGCACACCGCAGGCGGUGGGGCGGCUGCGUCCGGAAUAAUCCGCACGAGUCGCACAGGAUUAGUCGUACAAAUACACGGGGCCCCGCAGCGUACCGGCGACGGCCGGUGAAGAAAAGCUUUAAAGAGUGUUAGUAGUAGGCAAGGCGCACACCGUGAGUAAAAUGUAUACGUUAAAUAUAUGUAAUGUUGUAAGUCGUGUGUAAUGUUUGCUAUUGGCUGAAUCGUGAUCCCAUUAACUUCAGUGCUAUCCCAAGAGUCUCAUGCCGUA